GUCAAGAGUAUUGUAUUAGAGAAAGACCGUAUUGCAUUUGUAAUCCCAAACUGAAUAGGUUUUCUCUACCUUUUCUGAUUAGCUUGGGUAACCAUGAUAUGCUGCAAGGUGUCACUCAUGGUUUGUGGAAGCCCUAAACGUGUAUAAACACUAAAGGGAGAAUUGAAAGUAAGUUUCAAUUCACAAUCGAUUUGAAAUGGUUUUAAUCGCCCACUGCCUCGC
rnacentral:lncRNA from 1 species